rnacentral:rRNA from 1 species
CAGCCGUAAACUAUGCGCGUUAGGUGUAUCGGUGACCACGAGUUACCGAGGUGCCGAAGGGAAACCGUGAAACGUGCCGCCUGGGAAGUACGGUCGCAAGGCUGAAACUUAAAGGAAUUGGCGGGGGAGCACCGCAACGGGAGGAGCGUGCGGUUUAAUUGGAUUCAACACCGUAAACUCACCAGGGAAGACUGUUACAUGAAAGCCGAGAUGAAGACUCUGCUAGAUUUUCAGAGAGGAGGUGCAUGGCGUCAGUGACU